CCUUGUGAUACACUUUUGAUCGAAAUAGUUUUACCAAUUCUGAAAAUUUGACUUUUUUUUUCUAGCCCACCUCUCUGUCUCAGCUGUCCUUCCUGAAUGAAGAUAAAGAACCGCUCCGCACCUUCCCUAUGUGCAAUGCAAGAAGUUCCUUGGCUUAUAGAGGUCAAUCAGUCAGACAUGCCAUGUUCAGUCUAAUUGCCCUAUAGGUCUUACAACCUAGUCCCUGCGGAAAGGAAAAAUAAUUUCAACUUCUUCAUCCGAUGGAAUGGAGAGAAGAGCUUGCCUUUUACUCCUAGGGAAGUUUCCUUCACUGGAGAUGAAGACCAUUGAGGAAUCCAACGAAAGCCAACAUCCAUUGGGAUGUUGAAGAAUUGAACCUUUGUAAUUGGCUUCGACCGUAGUCUGAAUCUUUGGCCGCCUUUCGUGUGUCUCCUACUUGUGGCAUUAGUGGACAUGCUUAAUCUGUAAGAAUAAUUGGCAAACUGGAAUGGCAGGACUCUCUUCCCCAAUAAACUAAGCCUUUUGGACCAUCUCCAAUUAAGAUAAGCGAACAAGAUUUUUUAAAAUUCAGGAGGCUUUGGGAACUAAUCC
rnacentral:lncRNA from 1 species